CGGCGGGGCGGGGCGGGGCCGGGGGCGGGGCCGGCGGCGCCCACACGGAAGCGGCAGCAGCGCCCGCGGCCGCCUCAGGCGAUGCUGCGGCCCGGGCCCUUCGGGCGGCUGAAGGCGGCGGUGGUCGGGAUGGUGCACGUGGCAGCGCUGCCAGGGACACCAAGAAGUUCUUUUCCAUUGACCCAGAUCAUUGAUCAAGCUUGUCAAGAGGCAGAAGCUUACAAGGAUGCUGGAGUUGAUGGCUUGAUAGUAGAGAACAUGCAUGAUCUUCCUUACAUGGUGUGUCCUGGGCCCGAAGUCACUGCUGCAAUGACAGUCAUUAGUGCUGCUGUGAGACAAACCUGCCCACGCCUGGCGCUGGGUGUCCAGGUCCUGUCUGCUGCAAACCAGGAGGCGGUGGCUGUUGCUCUUGCUGCAGGUCUUGAUUUUAUCCGGGCUGAAGGGUUUGUGUUUUCUCAUGUUGCUGAUGAAGGGAUUAUAAAUGCCUGUGCAGGUAACCUGCUACGAUACAGGAAACAGAUUGGAGCAGAGAACAUUCAGAUUUUUGCUGAUAUUAAAAAGAAACAUAGCGCUCAUGCUCUGACGGCCGAUGUCGGCGUGGCUGAGACUGCGGCGGCUGCCGAGUUCUUCCUGGCUGACGGGGUCGUACUGACUGGCACAGCCACUGGAUUGCCUGCCCAUCCUCAGGAGCUGAAAGAGGUUAAGCAUGCUGUGAAGAUUCCUGUGUUGAUUGGGUCUGGAGUGACUCUGGAGAAUGUGACAAAUUACUUGGAUGCAGAUGCUCUAAUAAUUGGCAGCACAUCUCUGUGGCACCCAAAGCCAUUGCCAGUGCAAAAAUCUCUGAAGGCUUGUGUAGUAUAUUCUCUCCUAUAAGAAAAAUGCUAAUGGAGUUUAAGAAUUUGUAAUAAAUAUUCAUCACAGCAAGCUCCUACAGUGUUGUACCUCUCCAGACUAAUAUUACUGAUGUUAACUACCAGGUUCCUUCCAAUACACAAGGUGUAAUUAUGAUGGAAACCUUUCUGCCAAAGCUGACAGGGGCUGGAAGUGGAUGGAAACUCAGAGCUGGGAGCUGAUGCUUUCCUUCCUGCAGAGGCUGUGAUCCCCUUCUCUAUGUCACUGUGCUGAAUGACCUUGUACUAAGAGCUGAUACCUGAAUUACAGUGGCAGAUCCAGCCAGAACACUCAGUCCUGUCCAGGAGAAUGCAGCCAGCAGAGCUGUCCCUUCUCCCGUGAGUUUUCCCGACUGGCAGACACGGAGCUAAACCCCCGCCAUGGCGAGGGGAGGGCAGCCACCAGAUGGAGCCUGCUGGGGAGACCCGCCUAGAGAACAUCUAUCGCAGGUCUUGCUGCUUCAGUGAGACCAACAACAGGACUUGUGAGCUGUUAUUGAGCCCAGACUCUCAGAAUGGUGGGACGUGUGCUGUGCUGAUUUGUGUGUGUGGGUUCAAGCUCACCGAGAAGAGCAGCAGGCAUGCUAGCAGCUGCUGGCUCGGAACUACCUACAGAAUAAAAACUUAAUCCAGCUGGGAACAAUGACCAGAUUCCCACUGACUUUUAAAAGAAUCAGAAUUUCUCUGAGAGUGUAGUAAUGGUUUACAGUGGCAUGUACAGCCUUAAAGGAUACAGUCUUCACUGUUGUCUUGUAUUUUCAUUUUACUAACUUCUGCCACAGAAGAAAAUAGAUCUAAUAAAUGCCUGCUGGUGUAGCCCUAAUAA